CUCAAUUGGAAAGAGGAGUGGCGGACGGGUGAGUAACACGUGGGUAACCUACCCAUCAGAGGGGGAUAACACUUGGAAACAGGUGCUAAUACCGCAUAACAGUUUAUGCGCAUGGCAUAAGAGUGAAAGGCGCUUUCGGGUGUCGCUGAUGGAUGGACCCGCGGUGCAUUAGCUAGUUGGUGAGGUAACGGCUCACCAAGGCCACGAUGCAUAGCCGACCUGAGAGGGUGAUCGGCCACACUGGGACUGAGACACGGCCCAGACUCCUACGGGAGGCAGCAGUAGGGAAUCUUCGGCAAUGGACGAAAGUCUGACCGAGCAACGCCGCGUGAGUGAAGAAGGUUUUCGGAUCGUAAAACUCUGUUGUUAGAGAAGAACAAGGACGUUAGUAACUGAACGUCCCCUGACGGUAUCUAACCAGAAAGCCACGGCUAACUACGUGCCAGCAGCCGCGGUAAUACGUAGGUGGCAAGCGUUGUCCGGAUUUAUUGGGCGUAAAGCGAGCGCAGGCGGUUUCUUAAGUCUGAUGUG
rnacentral:rRNA from 1 species